AUGGGCUCGGCCUCCUUUCUUCCUCCUCACAGGGAGGCCCGAUCACAGAAGGAGUCCCCUCGGUCUCUGAAGGACCGGCCCUGCGGGAAAAAGCCACUUCCCCCCCGGCCUCGAUCUUCUUCUCCCGCCACGUUGGCCACAGAGGGGGAAUUUCUUUGCACACAAGAAAAGACACCCACGUGCAAAGGAGGGCUUGAGCCUCACCCUUCAACGCCCCCCCCGGUUGUUUCUGCAAUCUCUCCCCCCCCCGUUCGUGCAGGAGGGGGGAAGGGGAGGAACCUAGAGCUACGAAGGCGAAGGAAGAGCCCCUCCCCUGGACGCCCUUUGAACGGGAGCCGGAAGAAGCGGGGAUCCUGCAGCGCCUGCCUCUUCCCCUUCGGCCCAAGAAAGGCGCCUGGAGGAGAGAAGCGGGGCUUUUGGGGCGCCUCCCGGAUCGGGACCUGGACGGAGGAAGGGGUGAGACUGAGCUGAAUUCUCUUUGCUUUUUGGGGGAUCAUUAUGCAUUGUCUGCAUAAAGGAAUAACGGGACAUGAUGCGUCCCUAAUUGUGAUGGAUGACUCUUCACACUGGUUGGAAAGGGGGUUAGGUGAUUCGUAAACAGGUUGAAUAAGGAGGGAACAAGAAUGUAGCCUUGCUUCACUCCCUUGUUGGUUGGAAAUUGAUUAGAUAACUCACCUUACCAAGGGGCACGAACUUGGCAUGUUGUGCCAGAGUAUAAAAUUCUUAUGAGGAAAAGGAGUCUUUUAUCUAUGCGCAUGUUUUCAAGUUUUUCCCAGGGAAACUCUCUGUCUACAGAAUCAAAAGCUGCCUUUAAUUCAAGGAAAGCCACAUACAAUUUAGAAUUUUCAUGCUUAGAUCCCAGUAUAAACUACCGCUCUUUAAAGGGAAGCCUACUAGUUGGGUUCACAUUUGAAUAAGUCCGGUGGGAUAGUAUCGGGGGCCGGCUGCUUUUCCAGCUUUUAAUUGAGUGAUUAGAUCUCUGGUCUCUUCUAUGGUUAGUGGUGGCCAAACAGGAAGAUCAGAGAGAACAAAAGAGCGUAGAGGGUCUAACAGCUCUAUCUUUGUCAAAAAGAAGGUCUGAAAAAUAUUGGACCCUUCUUGGUGGAGAUAUUAUGGCAGGGUCUUGUACUUCCAGCCUGAAGGAGCCUGCCACGAUGGCCCAAAUUGGUUGUUGUGGGUUUUUCAGGCUUCUUGGCCAUGUUCUGAAAGUGGUUCUUCCUAACCUUUCGCCAGUCUCUGUGGCCGGCAUCUUCAGAGGACAGCAAACUGUGCUCUGGGAGGCUGAGAGUGGGUGGAGUAUUUAUGGUUGUGAGAAGGCUAGUUGGUGAGGUAGGCUAUUGUCCUAAUCAGGAGAUGGUUGAUUGUGUUUUGUUAUGGCUGCAUUGUUUUGAUCAAGAGGGGGGAUUAUCUGUCCCUGUGGCUGAUGGGUGUCGUUAGCUGGUUUUUUGUGUGCAGUAAUCCCUUGACCUUAUGGCUGGGUGGAGUUCAUUGACCUUUUGCACUCUGUGUUUUUGAGAGCUGGGAGCCAGGUUUUAUGGAGUUUCAGACAUUCCUCCUUCCGGUUGAAGUUUUGUUGAUGCUUGUGGAUUUCAAUGGCUUCCCUGUGCAGUCUGACGUAAUGAUUGCUGGUGUUGUCCAGUAUUUCAGUAUUUUGAAAUAGAAUUUCAUGUCCAGUUUGUUUUAUGGCAUGUUCAGCUACUGCAGAUUUUUCUGAUUGUUUUAGUCUGCAGUGUUUCUCAUGUUCUUUGACUCUGGUGUGGAUGCUUCAUUUUGUGGUUCCAAUGUAUACCUGGCCACAACUGCAAGGUAUCCGGUAUACUCCUGCAGUGGUGAGGGGGUCCCUUCUGUCCCAGCUCUCAAAAACACAGAGUGCAAAAGGUCAAUGAACUCCACCCAGCCAUAAGGUCAAGGGAUUACUGCACACAAAAAACCAGCUAACGACACCCAUCAGCCACAGGGACAGAUAAUCCCCCCUCUUGAUCAAAACAAUGCAGCCAUAACAAAACACAAUCAACCAUCUCCUGAUUAGGACAAUAGCCUACCUCACCAACUAGCCUUCUCACAACCAUAAAUACUCCACCCACUCUCAGCCUCCCAGAGCACAGUUUGCUGUCCUCUGAAGAUGCCGGCCACAGAGACUGGCGAAACGUUAGGAAGAACCAUUUUCAGAACACGGCCAAGAAGCCCGAAAAACCCACAACAACCGUUAGAUCCUGGCCGUGAAAGUCUUCGCGAUGGCCCAAAUUGUUUAUUGUUUUUUGGGUCACUGCCUGUUAGAGAUUGCUCCAAAAUAAAAUUCUGCCUUUUUUCUUUUACA
rnacentral:lncRNA from 1 species